AUCCUUUUGUUGACAAAUGACAAUACUGAAGUCGUUUGUGGUCAGCAUGAAACCCAAGAGUUAAAAGUUCACACCAAGCAAGAGGUGUGCUCUAAGUUGACGGUUGGCAAAUACUGUUUGCUGAGAAGCAUCUGGUUAGCAAAAUCUGACGGUUCCUCCCUCUCUCUAUCUAGUUCGUCGUCGUUGGGGAGCUAUGUUCGAAUCGCAUUGUCAGAAACGUUGUGACCUCUCUCUCCCUCUAAGUGAAGUCAUCUAAAACCGUUUUUAAAUUGAAGCUUCUGGUUAAAAUAUAUGUGCAACUUUUUAUUUAUUUUUUAAUUUUUAUGAAUUACAAUCAGCUAUAUGUAUAUAUUGCUAAUGUUUUAAAUGAUUUUGGAAUUUUGAAUCAUGAUUAUUGGAAUCUUCGAUUUUUGCAGGUAAAAAUCUCUUCUUCGGGUAUUGUAUUACGUUUUUUUUUUAAAAUUUUUUUUCCCCCUAUCAUAGUGGUCUUUUUUUCUUCUUAUCCAAUUGAGUUGUGUGAAUUAUAUUUUUCUUGUCAGUUAUAGUUUUUUAUUUUAUCAAACUAAUUUUAAAAAACUCAAGCUCGAGUUAGUGGUAGCCAAUCCAUCCCAAUCGUGCCAGAGGUCACCAAUCCACUCCUCCUAGAAAGUGGGACCAACACUGUGUAACAGCUCCACUUAACUUUUUAUGCUAAUCACUUCUUAUAGAAUGUUAAGCAACGUGUUGCUCAAUAUUUUACUUUUUAAUUCUUCUACCUAUUUGACAUGGUUUUAUGUGGAAAUGCAGCCAGAUUUGGUGCUAUUUAAAAACAUGCUUCUAUUUUUCUCUCGGUUACUAUUUUAGUUGUUCAGCUACUUUAAGCUUCUGUUUUUUUGGUGGUUGUUUUGGUGGCCUUUCUCCAGGUGAUUUUGGUAAUGAGAGUAUGUUGACCUCGUUAGAAGCAUUGCUAAUCUUAAACCUGCUAAAGCGGUUAUAUUGGAAAACGAUGAUCCUUGGAGUACUCAACAAUUUGCCAAACGGCUUGGUGAGGAGCAUGUAGGUUACCGGCGUUUGUACUUCCCAAUGUUAAAGCUGAGUAUUGUUGGCGGAAGGCCAUUUCCUUGUGGGGGUGGGCAGUUGUUUCAGAAAAGGCUUUUGGCUGCAAGUUUCUUGAAGCUCGUCUAAUGAUGGUCGAUCUGCGCUUCUCUGCCUGCAGUUGUCUCUCUUCGUUCGGCUAGGCAUGUUUGUGCUUGUAACUACGGUGGAGCAUUUUUCAACUGGCAUCCAUUUGUGUCAAUUGUGGGGAGGCUAUUGAUGAUGAUACAAACCAAUUGUUUGGGUUUAGAUCUGUUAGUUGCUUCAUUGGGCUUGACCUUUCAACUCUUCAUGAUUUGGUGAUAUAAUUUGAUUAUAAUAUCAAACAAGAAGUUCAGAAAAAGUUGUUCUCUUCUUGGGGGAUUUGGCAAAAAAUGAAUCUAUGGGUCACUAUUCUUGAUGCAUCAUCAUCAUUUGUCCAAGCUUCUUUACCGUUUUGAGUGGUCUGUUAGGCAGUCCAUGUUGAUUUUUCAUGGAGGGUAUGCCCUCUUUAAGUAUGUACUAAAUAGUCGAUCUUUUGGUUCAAUAUAACAUAUUCAUUAAUGAAAGAAAAAAAAAAUUGUAUUUGAAUAUCAUUGGAUUCAAUUUCUUUUAUAGAAAGUUUAUUUAUUUUUA